rnacentral:rRNA from 1 species
AGUGAACGCUGGCGGUAGGCCUAACACAUGCAAGUCGAACGGCAGCACAGAGGAGCUUGCUCCUUGGGUGGCGAGUGGCGGACGGGUAAGGAAUACAUCGGAAUCUACUCUGUUGUGGGGGAUAACGUAGGGAAACUUACGCUAAUACCGCAUACGACCUACGGGUGAAAGCAGGGGAUCUUCGGACCUUGCGCGAUUGAAAGAGCCGAUGUCGGAUUAGCUAGUUGGCGGGGUAAAGGCCCACCAAGGCGACGAUCCGUAGCUGGUCUGAGAGGAUGAUCAGCCACACUGGAACUGAGACACGGUCCAGACUCCUACGGGAGGCAGCAGUGGGGAAUAUUGGACAAUGGGCGCAAGCCUGAUCCAGCCAUACCGCGUGGGUGAAGAAGGCCUUCGGGUUGUGAAGCCCUUUUGUUGGGAAAGAAAUCCAUCUGGUUAAUACCCGGGUGGGAUGACGGUACCCAAAGAAUAAGCACCGGCUAACUUCGUGCCAGCCGCCGCCGUAA